rnacentral:rRNA from 1 species
GAUGAACGCUGGCGGCGUGCCUAAUACAUGCAAGUCGAGCGAACGGACGAGAAGCUUGCUUCUCUGAUGUUAGCGGCGGACGGGUGAGUAACACGUGGAUAACCUACCUAUAAGACUGGGAUAACUUCGGGAAACCGGAGCUAAUACCGGAUAAUAUUUUGAACCGCAUGGUUCAAAAGUGAAAGACGGUCUUGCUGUCACUUAUAGAUGGAUCCGCGCUGCAUUAGCUAGUUGGUAAGGUAACGGCUUACCAAGGCAACGAUGCAUAGCCGACCUGAGAGGGGGAUCGGCCACACUGGAACUGAGACACGGUCCAGACUCCUACGGGAGGCAGCAGUAGGGAAUCGUCCGCAAUGGGCGAAAGCCUGACGGAGCAACGCCGCGUGAGUGAUGGAGGUCUUCGGAUCGUAAAACUCUGUUAUUAGGGAAGAACAUAUGUGUAAGUAACUGUGCACAUCUUGACGGUACCGAAUCAGAAAGCCACGGCUAACUACGUG